AUUGAACGCUGGCGGCAGGCUUAACACAUGCAAGUCGAGCGAGCGGCGGACGGGUGAGUAAUGUCUGGGAAACUGCCUGAUGGAGGGGGAUAACUACUGGAAACGGUAGCUAAUACCGCAUACCAUCAGAUGUGCCCAGAUGGGAUUAGCUAGUAGGUGGGGUAAUGGCUCACCUAGGCGACGAUCCCUAGCUGGUCUGAGAGGAUGACCAGCCACUCUGGAACUGAGACACGGCCCAGUCUCCUACGGGAGGCAGCAGUGGGGAAUAUUGCACAAUGGGCGCAAUCCUGAUGCAGCCAUGCCGCGUGUGUGAAGAAGGCCUUCGGGUUGUAAAGCACUUUCAGCGAGGAGGCGUUACUCGCAGAAGAAGCACUGGCUAACUCCGUGCCAGCAGCCGCGGUAAUCC
rnacentral:rRNA from 1 species